rnacentral:SRP_RNA from 1 species
GCCAGGCGUGGUGGCACAUGCCUGUGGUCCCAGUUACUCAGGAGGCUGAGGUGGGAGGAUUGCUUGAGCCCAGGAGGUCGAGGCCGCAGUGAGUCAUGUUCAUGCCACUGUACCCCAGCCUGGGCAACAGAGCAAGACCCUAUCUCAA